rnacentral:tRNA from 1 species
GUCCCUGUAGCGCAAAGGAUAGCGCGUUGGACUUCUAAUCCAAAAGUCAUGGGCCCGAAUCCCUCCUGGGACG